rnacentral:rRNA from 1 species
CCUACGGGAGGCAGCAGUGAGGAAUAUUGGUCAAUGGUCGAGAGACUGAACCAGCCAAGUAGCGUGAGGGACGACUGCCCUAUGGGUUGUAAACCUCUUUUGUUUGGGAAUAAAGUGCCGCACGUGUUGCGGUUUUGUAUGUACCAUACGAAUAAGCAUCGGCUAAUUCCGUGCCAGCAGCCGCGGUAAU